rnacentral:rRNA from 1 species
AUUGAACGCUGGCGGCAGGCCUAACACAUGCAAGUCGAGCGGAUGAAGGGAGCUUGCACCUGGAUUCAGCGGCGGACGGGUGAGUAAUGCCUAGGAAUCUGCCUGGUAGUGGGGGAUAACGUCCGGAAACGGGCGCUAAUACCGCAUACGUCCUGAGGGAGAAAGUGGGGGAUCUUCGGACCUCACGCUAUAAGAUGAGCCUACGUCGGAUUAGCUAGUUGGUGGGGUAAAGGCCUACCAAGGCGACGAUCCGUAACUGGUCUGAGAGGAUGAUCAGUCACACUGGAACUGAGACACGGACAAGACUCCUACGGGAGGCAGCAGUGGGGAAUAUUGGACAAUGGGCGAAAGCCUGAUCCAGCCAUGCCGCGUGUGUGAAGAAGGUCUUCGGAUUGUAAAGCACUUUAAGUUGGGAGGAAGGGCAGUAAGUUAAUACCUAGCUGUUUUGACGUUACCAACAGAAUAAGCACCGGCUAACUUCGUG